CAGUAAGGGAUAUUGCGACAAUGGGCGAAAGCCUGACGCAGCAACGCCGCGUGUGGGAUGACGGCCUUCGGGUUAGUAAACCACGUUUUCGGGGGGAAGAGGAAGGACGGUGCCCCCGGAAGAAGUCUCGGCUAACUACGUGCCAGCAGCCGCGGUAAAACGUAGGAGGCAAGCGUUAUCCGGAUUUACUGGGUGUAAAGCGCGUGCAGGCGGACUUUCAAGUCGCGUGUGAAAGCGCCCGGCUCAACCGGGCGAGGCCGCGCGAAACUGAAAGACUGGAGGCCGGUAGAGGCGUGUGGAAUUCCGGGUGUAGUGGUGAAAAUGCGUAGAGAUCCGGAGGAACACCAGUGGCGAAGGCGACACGCUGGACCGAGCCUGACGCUCAGACGCGACAGCAUGGGGAGCGAACGGGAUUAGAAACCCCGGUAGUCCAUGCCGUAAACGAUGCGAACUAGGUGUGGCGGGUAACCAUUCCGGCUGUGCCGCAGCCAACGCGCUAAGUUCGCCACCGUGGGGACUACGGCCGCAAGGUUA
rnacentral:rRNA from 1 species